rnacentral:sRNA from 1 species
CCCCGGCAUGAAUGCCGGGGCUAUUUUCGGUUGUCCCUUUGGGACA